CUCAUUCUGUUCUCUCUCUCUCUCUCUCUUUCAGCACCUUAACCCUAGCCGCCCUUUAACUCCCGCCGUCUCCGCCGACCGGAAAUCGCCUCACCGCGGCGGACCACCUCCAAACUCCACCAAAUUAACAUCCUAUAACCACCUUUCCCUCCCGUUUCCAAAUCCCCAAAGCAUUUUCCUCAAAUCUUUCUCAAACAGCUCGAAUCUUGGAUCUGAAAUCCAAACCCUAACUUUUCCCUUUUUGAUUUUUGGUUAGUUUCUGGGUUAUUUGAACCUAAGACUUCCAUUAGUCAACUGUUCUUGUUAAGAACAGUUGAUUAAUGCAAGUCACUUUACCCCGUUAAUUUGGUCAAAUUCGUAACUGGUCCAGUUCAAAACGAGCUUAGGUAAUUCCUUUCACUUUUCUGUUUACUUUUUCUUCUUCAUGUUUAAUUGCUUCUUCUAGCCGCAUGUUUUAGGUAAUUGCAACUCUAGGUUUUCUCUUUUUCUUUUUUCAUGACUGUUUUGUUUGAUUAUUUUGCAUUUGUUUAUUAGAUUAACUAAAACAUGCUAGAAUUUCAGUAUUUGAAGUCUAAUUUCAAUUGCAUAAUGUUAGAUUAAUUAGGUUAAUUUUUUUAGGGGUUCUGAUAAAAUUAAUUGUUCUGUUUUCUUUUCUGUUUUGUUUCUCUCCUAUAUUCAUUUGUUUGAUAUUCAAUGUUUAGUUUAAAUUGAUUAGAAUAGUUUUAGGAGUUCAUCUUAUUUGGUCAAUAUCUGAUUAGUCAUUAAGAAACCUUAGCCUUAGUUAAUCUGUUUAAUUGUAAACUAAUUAGGUUAAUUUCUAGGGUUCCUUUGCAUCUUCAUUCUAUUUCUUGUUAUUUACUAUUUGAUUAUGUUUAAAGUUAAUUAGGUGGACCUGUUAAUUAGGAGUAAUCUGUUUGAUUUAAACCCUAGAUGCCCUUAAGUUUAAGUUUUAAUUUCAUAAUUAAAAAGAUAUUGAAACAAGUCUAGGAACCCUAAUGUUGGAAUCUUCUAGAUUAUUCUAGGAGGUUCCACAAAUGACAUUGAAAUCAGAAUUCAGGUCAAAGACUAGACUGAAAUAUCUAAUAAAUAAAAAGGUAAAACAGGAUUUUACAUUAGGGUGAAUAUCAGAAGGUUCCAGUAUUUUGGACAGCUGCCCUAUUCUUAACAAAAAAAAUGCUAAAAUUGGGUUGGAGAAAGGAUAUACAGUUGUCAAAGAUGUUGUAUUAUUCUUACAUUUCAGAAUUUAGGUUAGAAUAUUCCACUUUGAUGUCAUCUUUGUGCACUCUAUAAAAAGAAAAGUACUCGCUCAUUCUCACAGACACAUGUUUCAUCAUUUCUGCACCUAAAAACUUUCAGAAUACAAGAACAAAUCCCUGAAAUUUUUCUGCAAAAAACUUCAGUUUUCUAGGGUAGAUUUCUAGGUUAUUUGAUGGUACUCUGAUUUUUUGGGAAUUUUGAAGUGCAGAUUCUUGGUUUUUUAUGGGCUGCCUUUCUACUGUUUCUGUGCUAUUUGUUCCUGCUGGUUAUCUCCUUCAUAGUUUCAAUUAGAGGUUCAUUGUGUUUUACUUUGAUUCUUGCUGUUAUAGGUAUGUAUUUCCUUUAUCUAAUAUCCUUCAUUUGUCCAUAAAUUAGAUAUGGUGUUCGAUUAGAAAAAUGUUUGCUACUUCUGCCUAUAGUUUUCUACACUUGUUUCAAGCUCAUUUUGUUUUAUUCAAUGAAUGGUGCUCCUCUUAAAUUCCAAACCAGUUGCUUUCUUGUAAAAAUGACUCUUGCCAUGUUUUGUGUAUGAAUCAUGCCUCAUGAGUUAUGCCAAGUUGAUCAUUUCGUUAAUAUUAGCUAUUGCUUACUAUCUUGUAGUUAUGUUAUGCUAAAUAGACUUCCUUUGUUGCGAGACUUUCAUCUUUUUUCUGAUUGUAUGUGAGAGGAAGACCUCAGAACUAUUUUGGGAGCUGGAACCAAAGGCUGAUUUGCAAAGACAGUUUUGUAGCUGAUUUUUGCAAUCUGAAGUUUACUGGAGGGUUCACAACAAAUGAAAAACUCAAAACCAUGUUGAACAUUAUUUGAAAAAGUUUUCUUUAGCUGUAUCUAAGGUGUAUUGUAGUUUAAAUCUAUGGACUGUUCACUACAAACUGAUGUUUGUAUAAAAUUAGUAUGGAGUAGAUUGUAAUAUUUUUCUUUAAGUUGACUACCGUGACUGAUAGUUGAGGUGAAGUAUCUUAGUAAAGCUUAUGUUCAAGUAGUCCAUUGUUAUAAAUAUAGCAUGUUUUCUCAGAAUAGUUCGAAUGAGGGGCCAUACUAGUUGGGUCAGACUUGCAACAAGGCCCAAUCUGGGAAUUACCAAAGUAAGUCUGGGCCCAGGAAGAUGGGCCUGGGCUUUAAACCCAAUAGUUUGACCCUCAAUUAUAAGCUUCCC
rnacentral:lncRNA from 1 species